rnacentral:tRNA from 1 species
GGCGUGGUAGUACAGUGGUUUAGUACGUUCCUCCCCCAUUGGGAAGACAUAGGUUCGAAUCCUAUCUACGCUA